GUUCAUUUCUACUCCAUCCGGGGAUUUCCACUGAAAUUCAAGAAGCUCAAAACUACCGCAAAACCAGAUACAUGAAACGCAGAGGGAGAAGAGAGAGUAAAACCCUCCAUUGACAGAGAUACGCAGUUUCUGCCUAUACACUAUUCGCGCGGAGGCUGGAGCCACACCAUCAAAGGAUUCCAUGUAUAGAGAUAGACAAGCUAUUUCACACUGACACAAGAGAAGAAGAAAACUGAUUGCUUUUUAACUUUUUCUCCAAUGGCAGAGAAACAAGACUCCACUACAAUUUCAACCACACCACCACGCCCCACCAUAUUGCUGCCGCCGAGGCCUUCUAUGGAUGCCUUUUUCGCUGGUGGACUCAGUCCUGGUCCCAUGACUCUUGUCUCCUCUUUCUUCUCUGACAACUACCCCGACUCCGAUUGCCGCUCCUUCUCUCAGCUACUUGCUGGCGCCAUGGCUUCUCCAAUUGCCAGGCCGGCCUUUUUCACUGACACUUCUGUGCCCAAUGAUUAUACUUCUUCUGUGAAGCAGGAUGGGGAGGAGAAUAAUACUAAUUUGGGGUUUAAGCAGAGUAGGCCUAUGAAUUUGUUGUUGGCUCCUUCUCCACUGUUUACUGUCCCUCCUGGGUUGAGCCCUUCUGGUUUGCUAAACUCGCCUGGGUUCUUUUCUCCUCCUCAGAGUCCCUUUGGAAUGUCCCACCAGCAAGCCUUGGCACAGGUUACAGCUCAAGCUGCUCUAGCUGCUCAAUCUCAUAUGCACAUGCAAGCUCAAUAUCAACCUGCUCCAGUAGCAGCUUCCACGGAGUUAUUGACACACCAUUCAUCCUUUACUACUGGUGAAGCUUCACAGCAGCAGAUGCUGCCUUCAACUUCAGAGCCUCCAAGUUCCAUGGUGGAAUCAUCAGAUCCCUCUCAUUCUGAUAGGAAACAGCAGCCUCCUCUUGCUGUUGAUAAACCAAGUGAUGAUGGCUACAACUGGCGCAAAUAUGGGCAGAAGCCAAUUAAGGGUAGUGAAUAUCCGCGAAGCUAUUAUAAGUGUACACAUCUGAAUUGCCCUGUCAAAAAGAAGGUUGAGCGUUCCAGUGAUGGCCAAAUAACUGAGAUCAUCUAUAAAGGCCUGCACAAUCAUGAACAGCCUCAACCCAAUAAGCGUGCAAAAGAAAAUAGUGACCUAAAUGGAGGCAUAAAUUCUCAGGCUAAGCCUGAACUUAGCUCCCAAGCUCAAGCUGGUAAUAUGAACAAGAGUGAAACAAUAUCAACUCAUUCAGCGCAUGGGAGGGAGCAGGAAUCUACUCAGGUAGAUCUCAUAGAACUACCUGGAUCAAGCGACAGUGAGGAAGCCGGUGAUGGAGCAACAAGAGCAGAACAAGAUGAUGAUGAGCCGAAUCCAAAAAGAAGGCACACAGAUGUUGGGAUAUCUGAGGCUGCUUUACCACACAAGACAGUCACAGAACCUAAAAUCAUUGUUCAAACAAGAAGUGAGGUUGAUCUUUUGGAUGAUGGCUAC
rnacentral:misc_RNA from 1 species